rnacentral:rRNA from 1 species
AACGAACGCUGGCGGCAUGCCUAACACAUGCAAGUCGAACGAAGGCUUCGGCCUUAGUGGCGCACGGGUGAGUAACGCGUGGGAAACUGCCUAUUGGUGGGGAAUAACGACGGGAAACUGUCGCUAAUACCGCAUAAGCCCCUCGGGGGAAAGAUUUAUCGCCGAUAGAUGUGCCCGCGUCCGAUUGGCUAGUUGGUGAGGUAAUGGCUCACCAAGGCGACGAUCGGUAGCUGGUCUGAGAGGAUGAUCAGCCACACUGGGACUGAGACACGGCCCAGACUCCUACGGGAGGCAGCAGUGGGGAAUAUUGGACAAUGGGCGAAAGCCUGAUCCAGCAAUGCCGCGUGAGUGAUGAAGGCCUUAGGGUUGUAAAGCUCUUUCGGGUGGGACGAUGAUGACGGUACCACCAGAAGAAGCCCCGGCUAACUUCGUGCCAGCCGCCGCAGUAA